AAUUAUUUUGAUUAUUUAAUUUGAAAAUUCAGUCUGUUUUUUCUUGUUUAAUUUAUAUUACAUAUAGAAUAUACAAAUAUAAAAAACAAAUGUGUCUCAUCAUUAAAAAUAGCAUUUUGUCAUAUAACAGUUCAAUAAAAUUAAUUGUGCAAUAAUUUUAUAUGGAUAUCAUGAACCACACUUUGAUAUUCCUAUGACAGUUACUGCAAUGACAUAAGUGGUAUAAGCAUUUAGCUUCAAAAACACACAUUACUUAUACAUAAAUAAUAAAAAUAUAAAAAUUCUAAAAAAUCAUAUUUUAUAUAAUAAUUUAUAUAAUAAAUAGUAGUGGUGUCUUUAAGAUACAUUCCAAUUCUGCAAAAUAUGCAGAGGCUUUGAGUUAAAGCUAUUUUAAAACUGACAUAAAUCUUAUUGGAAAAGCCAUGAGCCCAUGUACAUAGAAGGGAAUUGGUCCAAUAAUAUGGGAAAAAAAUCUAGAAAAAUAUAGCCCUGCAUUUUAUUCUUGUGAGCUCUAUCAAUGUGUAAAAAUUUUAGUUUUUCUAUCUCUUUGAAACUAAAAGUACCUAACAUCUUUCUCAGUACACAUGGAAAAAAUAUAUAUAUUUAUACAUGUAUAUUUAUAUGAAUAAUAAACUUAUACUUUCCUUGUUAUUCAGGUUUAUUCAAUAACAAAAAAGCUACCAAGUAAAUACCAAGGCCAUAAAAGUAGUAUGUAUUAUAAUUGGCAACUUCAUCUUGACUAUAUACUAUGUAAGCUAUUGCCAUACUUUUCAAAUAGUCAUCAGACUCUUAAUGAUCAUCACUAAUUUUUCAAAGACACCACAAGUUCUUUUCUCUUUGCUAUACAAUACAAACACAGGAGGAAAUGAUUGAUUUGAGGAACUUGAAUGACACCAUAAACAUGAACUACAAGGGGUAAAAAGUAGGCUUGCAAAACAAAAGCAUCUUCAAAAAAUCGCCUACUCAGUGAUCACACCUCCAUCAGACUAUAUCCAACCGAUACUGCUGACCUGAAGGCUUUCCCAUAUUAAAACUUUAAUCUACCAAUUAGGUUUAAAGUGAGCUUUUCUCAUUUUUUACUUAAUUGAAUUGGUGAGGAAAAUUAAUUUACAGGAGGGAGGAAAUGAUUUUCUUUAAAUACCUAAUACAACUUGCUAUUAUUAUUUCGCUGUAAAUUUUUAGAGUGCUCAAACUUGCAGUUUGCUUGGAUUUGCAUAAACAGAAACAUUUCAAAUAUCCAGACUUUUACUUUCAUCUGGCUAUAGAAAAUCUACUGUUCAGUCGUUACUACUCAAUACUCUCUAAAGGUAUAAAGAAUUACUCUAACAAUUUUACAUAAUUGAAUCUAUCGUACAAUAUAUUCCAUUUUUUCAGAUAAAGGUGAAUUGUCCUCAUGUAUUACUACAUAACUCAAAGUGUUUCUGACCCAUGUAAAAUUUUACUAUGAUAACAUCAAAGGAGUCAUUAAUCAAAUAUGUCUAAUAAUUGACAUUAGACAUAUUAUGAUUGUCUAAUAAUCAAAACAUGUAUUAUAUUCAUUAUGGGCAUUUCUAUAUAAUUAUUCUUUGGGCUCCAUAGGACUAAAAGAAUGAUUUACUUAUUGAAUUUUUACUCUAAAAAAUUUGUCAUAAUUUCAUUGUCUCACGAAUCUUCCUUCUAAGUUUUCAGUCACUGAGAAAUUUUAAGUGAAAAAAAAAUUUAAAUUAAAAUAAAAGGCUUUGCAAGCAAAUGUGAUAAUGCAUCUAAUUUAAAAGGGAUUAAUCAUUACCAAUUUAGCAUCAAAAGAAUUGUCAGACAAAAGGAGUUCCAUAUGGGCCAUGUCAUGGAAGGCUAAAAAAGAUGUGCCACUUACCUCCCCCUCUACCCAACUACAGAGGAAAAGAAAGAAGCAAAUAAAUUAGAAUCUCAAAAGAACAUGUGGAUUUCUUUUAGAAUCAUGCCUCUACAAGUAGGAUCCACACUAUCAGAGUCCCUGAAAAGCAUAGAGAUUCAUCUAUAACCCAUGUUUUCACUACAGAACAUUGAGGAAGCCACUUUCAACAAGUCCAUUCUGCUAUCCACAUGUGCUUACUCUUUAAAAUUUAUUGAUUUGAUCUAUUCCAGCAGUGACUCUGGCCAUGGGAAAGCUCUAUUUCUCCUUCCUUCUGUCCCACUUUCCUCUCUAGUUUGCCCACAAAAAGUGUUCUAGGGAAGAUUAAAACACAAUAGUUUUUAUACACAAGUGGGCAAGCACUGAGAGGAAAAGACAGAAGAUGAAAGAAUUGUGGAACCUGAAAAUUCAAUGAGUAAAUUAAGUGAUUCUAGAGUCAUAUAGGGCUAGCAACACCCCUGAAGCUACUUAGUAACUAUGUAAUAUUGGGUAUGAGACUAAUCUAUCUGAAUCUUAAUUGUCUAAUCUACAACAUGGGUUGGUAUACCUACCUAUUAACAUAGUUAAAAGAAUUGAAACUUUAAUAAAAUCCCUGAUAUAUAGUAAGUUUUUAAUUAACAUGGUUUAUCAUGAAGUAUUUUGGAGGAGGGGUUGUAAAACAGGAGGAUAUAGAUUUAUCUACUUAUAACACAGAUCAAGCAAAUAUUCAAAAACAGUUUAAUUGUAGUGUAGAUAUAAUAAUAUAGAAUUAAGCUAUAACCAACUAUAUUUUUCACCUAAAAGUAUAUAUAGAACAUUUGAAGUUCCUAAUUAUUAUAUCAGGUAUCAGGUAAAAAAAAUAGUCUUGCAUUUGUAUAAUAUUAUCAUGUCCGGGAAAUAUAAAAAAUAAUUAUAAUAAAGAUAAAUCAAAAGAAUUAUAGAAGCAUAUUAUUUAAAAUAUUUUAUUUUAUUUAUAUUUAAUUCAUUUUGUGCUGAGCUCUAUGCUGAUAGAGCCCUUGGAAAAUUUUAAUUCAUUAAAAUAGUUUAUUUCACAUAUUGAACAGAUUGUUUAGAUGUGACAGAUAAAAGUAAUAUAUAAAAUGUAUGACCACGACAAGUUGAGAAAGAUAACCAACAAAACAGAGUUAAAGCAGAUAUACUGGAAUGUAAAUCCACUGAAUUUUACAUAGCCUAAAUCUUCAUUAUUCCCAAUUUAUUCUUAUCUGUUUGAGUACUUUGAAUUGUUGAUAAUAGAAAAUUCAAUGCAAAGCAAUUUAAUCAAAUAUGAGGAUUUAAGGUAACAUAUUACUGAAACGUCCUGAGGUAGGUUCUAUGUAGUAUGAAAUAAAGAUUCUAGGUCCACCUAUUUAUAUUUACUUCCUCCAUCAUCUGAGAAGGCCUAGAAGCCUCACUUGCAACAAGCACCUCUAGUACCUUGUUCUUGGUUUCUAAUACUAUCUUUCAAUAAAAAGAACCAAAGACCAUUGGAGAAAUGGCUGAUUCUAGAAAUGAGGCAGAAAAUAUGCAAGAUGAAUCUGGAGCAUUGUACAGUGCCAGAAAAUUAGGAAGUACUCAAAAGCAUGAUAAUGGGAUGUGUCGAAGGGACAUAAGAACCAACUGAAAGAGUUCUCAGUGGCCAAAGCUGGAACAAUCUGAGCAGCAAAAUGAGUUGUAUUAGAUUAUGAUCAAGUAUAAAAUAAAUAUCCAUGAUUCUAUACUGAUACAAAUAAAUGACUGAAUAAAUAAAUAUAUGGGGGAGAAUAGGCAAAUAUCCCAUGCAAAAUUCCAGUUUAUAUAGAUACUUUAUCCUUGGGGAGGUAGAACACAACUGUGCAGUGGCCUGUACAUAGAAUGUAGUAAGAGAGAAAAAGAACAUCACGGUGCAGAAAUCUUACAAACCUUCACUAGGUUACUGAGAUUAACACUCUGAUAAAUCACGUGGAUUGUACGGAUCCUUGAUAUGGUGUCGUCACACCAUACUUCUUCUCUGUCAACUUCUCAUAAGAGAACAUAAACAUAAAAAUACAAAUAGAGGGAAUUCACAAAAUACCUUUCUAGUACUGCCCCCCCCCCCCCCCCCCCACAAAUCUGUCAAGGUCAUAUAAAAGGUCUGGAAAACUAUCACAUCCAAGUGUAGCUGAAGGCAAGGUAACAUGAAGAUGAAUAUGACAUGGGAUCCUGGAUAGGAUCCAGGAAGAGAAAAAAUAUGUGAGAUAAAAGUGAAAGAAAUCUGAAUAAAGUAUAGAUUUUAAUUAAUAAUAAUAUAUCAGCACUAGUAUAUUAACUAUGAUAAAUGUAUUCUACUAAUGAAAAAUGUUUAUAAAACAAGGGAGAAUGGAUGAAGGAUAUAUGUAUUAUUUUAACUUUUUUUCUAUAAAUCUAAAUCUAUUCUAAAAUUAAAAGUUCAUUAAUUUUUUAUUUUAUUUUUUUAAAGAUUUUAUUUAUUUAUUCAUAAGAGACACAGAGAGAGGCAGAGACAUAGGCAGAGGGAGAAGCAGGCUCCAUGCAGAGAGUCCGAUGUGGGACUGGAACCCGGGACCCCAGGAUCAUGCCCUGAGUCAAAGGCAGAAGCUCAACCGCUGAGCCACCCAGGUGUCCUGAAAGUUCAUUAAUUUUCAAAAAGUCCUAGUAAAGUACAAAAAGAAUGGAACUUCAUUAAGUAUAUAAAAAUUACCAAUAAAAAACAUCCACAGAAUAAAACGAUGAAAUGUCAGAUUCACUGUAUUUAAAAUUAGGAAUGAGACAAAAAAAUGUCCCAUUCCUGCUCCAAGAUUGUUGUAGAGGAGCCUCGUUAGUACAUUAAAAUAAGACCAAGAAAUAAAAUAUAUCUGAUUCACAAAGAAAGAAUAAAAUCAUUCUUAUUCUGCUAAAAAAAAAAAAAGACUUCUCAAAAGCCAUAUUCAAUAUUGGAAGGCCUGCUUAAUGGCUUAGAUCAUGAGUGUUUUGAUUUACAAUGUCAGCUGGCACAUAAUCGCUGAAUUAUUUUUGUUUCACUUGCUGGAAAAAAGAGAAAGCUUUCAUAUUUAAUUGUUCAAAAUGAAUCAAAGUAGUUAGUACUUUGACUCUCAUUAAACGACUAA
rnacentral:lncRNA from 1 species